AGGCAAAGCUAGGCUAGGUCUUGGAGGCUGGUGUGAGGCGGUGCGGGUAAGGCAGGAGGCUGAAGGAAGACACUGUGGAAGAAAAGCCGAAAUGGAUUCUCCGUGCCUUGGAUGGAGGAAGAGGGGGGAAGUGCGAGCUCCUUCAACUCCUUCGGUCCGGUGAGGAGUGAUCCAGCUUGGGCUGACAAGAGGCUCCGGGGGCCCUCACGUUCAGGGCUUUUUUACCUGCCAAUCAAACUGCUACAAGACAACACCCUGAUCUGGCAAUGGACGC
rnacentral:lncRNA from 1 species